rnacentral:rRNA from 1 species
GUCGAACGAGCUUCCGUUGAAUGACGUGCUUGCACUGAUUUCAACAAUGAAGCGAGUGGCGAACUGGUGAGUAACACGUGGGGAAUCUGCCCAGAAGCAGGGGAUAACACUUGGAAACAGGUGCUAAUACCGUAUAACAACAAAAUCCGCAUGGAUUUUGUUUGAAAGGUGGCUUCGGCUAUCACUUCUGGAUGAUCCCGCGGCGUAUUAGUUAGUUGGUGAGGUAAAGGCCCACCAAGACGAUGAUACGUAGCCGACCUGAGAGGGUAAUCGGCCACAUUGGGACUGAGACACGGCCCAAACUCCUACGGGAGGCAGCAGUAGGGAAUCUUCCACAAUGGACGAAAGUCUGAUGGAGCAAUGCCGCGUGAGUGAAGAAGGGUUUCGGCUCGUAAAACUCUGUUGUUAAAGAAGAACACCUUUGAGAGUAACUGUUCAAGGGUUGACGGUAUUUAACCAGAAAGCCACGGCUAACUACGUGCCAGCAGCCGCGGUAAUACGUAGGUGGCAAGCGUUGUCCGGAUUUAUUGGGCGUAAAGCGAGCGCAGGCGGUUUUUUAAGUCUGAUGUGAAAGCCUUCGGCUUAACCGGAGAAGUGCAUCGGAAACUGGGAGACUUGAGUGCAGAAGAGGACAGUGGAACUCCAUGUGUAGCGGUGGAAUGCGUAGAUAUAUGGAAGAACACCAGUGGCGAAGGCGGCUGUCUAGUCUGUAACUGACGCUGAGGCUCGAAAGCAUGGGUAGCGAACAGGAUUAGAUACCCUGGUAGUCCAUGCCGUAAACGAUGAGUGCUAAGUGUUGGAGGGUUUCCGCC